AAGAAGCUACAUGGUUUCCCAAUCUUGCAUGUGGCUUAAAGUGGUCAAUGUUUACUUCAAACCAAGUGUUGUUAAUAAAGACCGUAAUAAGAAAUUUUUUUCGGCAGGGAUAGCUUAACAAGAAAGGUGACUUAAAACCAGAAAUUUAAAACAGUAUAUAAAAUUAAUAUGUGACAAUUCUAUGAUCAAAACCUAUACAGCUUAAGAAACAUCCUCAAUUCACUAAUAUUACCAAAGUGAUAGAUUAAAACUGUCAUUCCAAUCAUCAUAACAACAAUUAACCAACUAUAAUUGAGAUUGCUCUCUUCAAUUUGGAUUUCCUACUACAAACAAGCUAGAAAUAAACCUAGUAAGUACCACGUAGUUGGAGAUAUACUAGACAUACCCAUCAUACUAUGUUUUUCAUGAGACUCAUUUCUAGCAAACAGUAUGUAAUGUUUUUAGUUGUUUUGUAUCAAGCUGUUUUAGCAUGAACUGUUAGGGACAGUAUAAACCAUAUCAAUUUAAAUCCACCAAACAAAUUAAACAGACAAAAGACUCCACAUGUUCAUAUAUUCCAAAGUCUCUAUUUCAAUAGUCAACCACAUGAAGUAAUUCGUAUAUUCAGUCAUUGCUAACAUGCAUCCAAUACCUUGUCUUUACAUACAACCAAACUGGAAAGUGCAAUAUUUGAUGCAGUCAUUGCUAACAUGCAUCCAAUACCUUGUCUUUACAUACAACCAAACUGGAAAGUGUUAAUUACUGAGGCAAAAUGACCGGAUGGGGUUUGGCAUCUCUUGAUGAAACAACACAAUUCAUAUGAAGGUAGAUGUAGUAAAUUUAUUGUAUUGCAACCACAUAAUGUCCAAAGAUAUACCAGGUCAUCACCUACCACCUAAAUGCAUGCAUAUCCAUGUUAUUCUUUGUAUCGUCCUUGUCUUAUAAGAAGUUCAGUAAAUUAUGAUAAAAGGAAGUACUAUGUUUUCUCUCGCCAAAAACUACUUCACUGAUUAAGCUUAUGUCACAAUAGUAUGCACUGCAAUUCCAGCUCAUCAAAUCUGUUAGGAGGUGGUUAUAACUAACUAAAACAGAGCAUGUGUGUAUUGUAUCUUGAGAGGAUGUAAAUUACAAUAUAUAGGAGAUGUAUUACUCUAUUUUGUACAUUCUUGAAUAAUAAAAAUACAAAGUAUUGAUUCAUGACUUUCUUCAAAAUGAUUAUGUUGCAGUACUUCUAGACACAGGAGACUUAGUCUUGAAAAAGGGUAUCUCCUGGGAGAUCUUGUGGGAGAGCUUUAACCAUCCUUGCAACACUUUCCUACCCGGCAAUGAACACUAGAACUGGAGAAAAACAGUUAUUGUCUUCUUGGCAAAUGGAAGAUGACCCAGGAAAGUUUGUUGUUGGAAUUGCACCACUCCUGCAAGCUUUUGUUUGUAAAGUUCCAAUUCCAUUUUGGAGAAGUGGGAGAAGUGGGCCAUGGGAUGGAUUGAAGUUUAUCGGUGUACCUGAUAUGAAAUCAACGUAAUUGGAAAGUGGUUUUGGUGUUGCAAUGGAUCACAGGAAAUCAGUAAAGGGAAGAAGCAAAGAGCAGGAUUCAUUAUGUCGGCUUCACAGUUGCUUCUGGAAAGAGGGAAAAGAAACUCAAGAGCUUUGGUUUGGCUGAUACAUUAAAGACUUCAGAGACACCCCACUGAACCAAGUAGAGCAAUAUGGUACAUCAGAGCUACCAGUGUUUGACUUCGACGAAUAGUAGCUGCUACCAAUAGCUUCAGCAUAAAAAGUAAACUUGGGGAAGGAGGAUUUGGACCAGUAUUUAAGGUAAUUCAUUUUUUUCUCUAAUAUUUUAUGUGCACAUAUGACAUGGACUUGUGUAUGUAUUGGUUGAUUGUGAAAUUUUAUGGAUGAUGCGGAGGGAAAUCUACAAGAUGGACAGGAGAUAACAGUGCAAAGACUUUCUAGAUGCUCACGACAAGGCAUCAAAGAUUUCAAGAAUGAGAGCAUACUGAUGAUAUCAAUGCUCCAGCACUAGAAUCUUGCUAGUCUCUUGGGGUGCUGUAUUGAAGGAGAAGAAUAACAAAAGUUUUGAUACUUUUCUCUUCGGUUGGUUCAGUUUCUGCUUUUCAAUACAUGCCUUCUAAUUCUUACCCAUCUUGUUCAUUAAAAGAUCAAUACUCUUCAUUUCUCUUUAUGAAGCAAUAUGUAUCACCAGACGAAGAUCACUGUUGAUUUUUUUUUAUUUAUAUUUUUUUCUCCUCUAA